UACGAGACGACGCUGGCGGCGUGCUUAACACAUGCAAGUCGAACGGAGAUUAUUAAUGAAGCUUGCGAUUUAAUAAUCUUAGUGGCGGACGGGUGAGUAACGCGUGGGCAACCUACCCAUAAGCGGGGGAUAACAGUUGGAAACGACUGCUAAUACCGCAUAAGCUAUUAAGGUCACAUGACCUUAAUAGUAAAGGUGGCGAUUUUACAUUGCUAUCACUUAUGGAUGGGCCCGCGUCUGAUUAGCUAGUUGGUGGGAUAGCAGCCUACCAAGGCAACGAUCAGUAGCCGGCCUGAGAGGGUGGACGGCCACACUGGGACUGAGACACGGCCCAGACUCCUACGGGAGGCAGCAGUGGGGAAUAUUGCGCAAUGGGGGAAACCCUGACGCAGCAACGCCGCGUGAAUGAAGAAGGCCUUCGGGUUGUAAAGUUCUGUCAAUUGGGAAGAAGCCCCAGGGGUCAAUAGCUCCUGGGAUGACGGUACCUAAGAAGGAAGCUCCGGCUAACUACGUG
rnacentral:rRNA from 1 species